rnacentral:rRNA from 1 species
AUUGAACGCUGGCGGCAUGCCUUACACAUGCAAGUCGAACGGCAGCACGGGGCAACCUGGUGGCGAGUGGCGAACGGGUGAGUAAUGCAUCGGAACGUACCUUUCAGUGGGGGAUAACGUAGCGAAAGUUACGCUAAUACCGCAUAUUCUGUGAGCAGGAAAGCAGGGGAUCGCAAGACCUUGCGCUGAUUGAGCGGCCGAUGUCAGAUUAGCUAGUUGGUGAGGUAAAGGCUCACCAAGGCGACGAUCUUUAGCGGGUAUGAGAGGAUGAUCCGGCACACUGGAACUGAGACACGCGCCAGACUCCUACGGGAGGCAGCAGUGGGGAAUUUUGGACAAUGGGGGCAACCCUGAUCCAGCCAUGCCGAGUGAGUGAAGAAGGCCUUCGGGUUGUAAAGCUCUUUCGGCCGGGAAGAAAUCGCACGGGCUAAUACCCUGUGUGGAUGACGGUACCGGAAUAAGAAGCACCGGCUAACUACGUGCCAGCCGCCGCAGUAAAAC